GUAGGUACUCCAUUGUCUGACGGAUCUGAGAACGCUGUCUGGGCUUCGUGCCAAGGGCUGGUAUUCACACAGCAACGACGGCCUCACAGAAGAGCUGUGGGAAGCAGGAGGGCGAGCCUCUCUUAGGGUGCCACUACUAUGGAGACACAGCUGGGCUGAACAAGAUUUGCUUCAAACGACAACAAGAGAGACAGAAAGUAUCUGAUUCAACCGCUGCCCAAGCAGGCAGGCACCAGAAGAGCUAGCAGCCAAUCCGGCCAUGCUCGAAGCCAGUCCUGCAGCUCAGCCAAUCAGUGACAUCAUUGGACAUCUCUUCAGAUUGCUCAUCAUGAUAUGAAGAUGAAACUUAAUAGCAAUAACCAAUGGAUGCUUUUCUUGGAUUCAGUCCAACACUCUGGAGACCAGAUCUUCAGGAAUGUAACUGGGAUAAUUGUCCAAAUUGAAUCCCAUACCCUGUCAUGGUGAGUAGAACCAUCUAAGAUGCUAUUUUUUUCGUGUUUAUCUGUAAUUUUUUUCAUUGGUAAUCUCAGUUUUCUGGUGAUUGGUAUAGGAAAUUCAAAGAACUGAUUUCCAUGUUUUAAUUCUCUUUGUGAUGGAAAGGUGAAUAUUUGGCUAGGAAUGCAGCUCAGUGGCUACUGUGACUGACUGGCAUCUGUGAGGCCCUGACUCUGCCUAGCGCCACAUACACCUGGUGUAUGGCAGGCUGGUAUAGUGAAAUUCUAGCAUGGGGCGUUUGAGGCAGGAGCAUCAUAAGCUCAAGGUCAUCAGUUGUUACUGGAUAAGGUACCAAGAAGGAUAUUGUACGGUAGGAUCAUUAAUUAUCCCGAAUUGCAAACAUGCCAUGCCUAAGCUGGUGAAACGCUUGUCAGGUUUCUCUGAACUCCGGCCAAUGUAAAAUGCCUGAAAAUCAAUUCACUUGUUACUAUCAGACUCAUUUCACAAACAGUAUGGGAAGGAUUCAUCGUCCAUGUGUAUGACUAUACAUGUACAUAUAUAUACAUAUGCACUGUAGCCAAGACUGGAGAUCUUGUUCAUUGUUUGAACUUGACUGAUGGUUAGUUGUUCUUGGUUUUCUUUAAUGUGUUCACACACACACACACACACACACACACACACACACACACACACACACAUCAAACUGUUUUGGCUAAUUUUCUUAAAACCCCUUCCCUUGAGAUCCUUUGAAGGCUACUACUUUGACCCUGAAGGUUCAGAAAAAGUAAUGAGGUUUUUUGUUUGUUUGAUUGGUUUUUUUUUUUUUUUGUCUGUAUCAAUAGUUAUUAGAGAAACACAAACAAAGUGGCAAUAGGCAUAGUCACCUCUGGUGACAAAAAUAAAAGUUCAUACAAUAGUUACUAAGGACCUGUGGAAGUAAACUCGUAAACAUGGCUGGUACAAUGCUAACGUGAUGUAGCCACUGAAGAAAACAGCCUAAUAGCUUCUCAUAAGUUAUAUGACUGAGUAAUUCCCAACUAGGCACAAGACAAGAAAUAGAAACUUAACAUCUGAGUUUCUUUUUCUGUCUUUGGGAUAAAAUGCUCAUCAAGAGGCAACUUCGAGAAGGAGGGGCUUAUUUAGAUUCUGUUCUGAGAGGAUGCAGGCCAUCCUGAUGGGAAAGGCUCGAACGCCAAGCGGCAGGCAGCUAGGGAUGGAUUCUGGUGCUCAGCUAGCUAGUUUUCCCUUUUUUAUUCGGCCCAGCAGUUAUAAUGGAUAGUUUUAAAUAAAUAUGCUGCAUUGACUAUGUCUAAUUCUGUAUAAAUUAGUUGAAGUUAAUGUAACAAAGAAAAACAUUGACCCUGUGUAUAAGAAAAUGGAGUGAUGCCGGGGUUAGUGGCACACACCUUUAAUCCCGGCACUUGGGAGGCAGAGACAGGCAGAUUUCUGUUAGUUCAGGUCAGUCUGGUCUACAGAAAAAGUUUCAGGACAGCCAUAACUACACAGAAAUACCAAGUCUUGAAAAAUAUUAAAUAGUAUUAAAUUACUUAUAUGUAUUUGUGGGGUUUGUGUAAAGUCCAUUAAAACAACGGUCAUAGGAGUAACUCUUCUCACCUGACAUCACAUAUAAAUAUUACUGUGGGUUUUUCUGUUAUUUUGUGUUCCUAGGUGGAAAGCCCCCUUAUCUAUAAAUAGGAAUUUUAGGUGCCUUCUGUCCUUUUGUUUUGGUUUUUGGUUUUUUUUUGUUUUUUUGUUUUUUUGCUAUAACAUAAGAUUUUUCAGUUCAUUGUUUAAUGGCACAGUGGUAGCUUACAGAUGAACACGAAAUGACUAAACAAUAUUUGGGUUUUCCAGGUUUUAUUUAGAAUGAAUGACUUUCAAGAUUGUCAUUUAAGUAUGACAUUGACUAUUUAAUGUAUUUUUAAAUCACUAGAAUGUUAUUCAAUGACACAUAAGCUAAACUAGAUUUUAUAAAAUUUCCCCCAGUCUUAUUUAUAUAUUUAUAAUAUAUGGAGAAAAAUUUCAAUCUGGUAAUUUUGUUUUCUUCUCUUAGCCAAUUCUUUGCUCAUGCGCCACUUUUGCAUAGUUAGAUAUCAUACUAAUCUUUGAGCAUGCAUUAUUUUUUUAAAUUAAGUAUUUUCUUCAUUUACAUUUCCAAUGCUAUCCCAAAAGUCCCCCCAUACCCCCCAACUCCCAUACCCACCCCCUCCCACUUCUUGGCCCUGGCGUUCCCCUGUCCUGAGGCAUAUAAAGUUUGUAAGACCAAUGGGCCUCUCUUCCCAAUGAUGGCCAACUAGGCCAUCUUCUGCUACAUUUUGCAGCUAGAGACACGAGCUCUGGGGACACUGGUUAGUUCAUAUUGUUGUUCCACCUAUAGGGUUGCAGAUCCCCCCUGCCCCAGCUCCUUGGGUACUUUCUCUAGCUCCUCCACUGGGGGCCCUGUGAUCCAUCCAAUAGCUGACUGUGAGCAUCCACUUCUGUGUUUGCCAGGCCCCCAUUAUUAACAACUUAAUAUGUGUUUGAACUCUCAUGAUAAGUUAUAUGGGUGAUUUCUCUCCUUCCACCACAUUCUUUUUUGAAAGUUAACCAACAUAUUCAGAGUUGGCCACAGGUGCCUUUACCUGAUGAGCCAGCUCAUUUUCUUAUUAUAUAGUUUAUUCUAACUUGCUUUUAUUUAUUAAGAAUUUUGAAAGCAUUGGAAAAUCAUGACAGCAUUUCUUACUAGCCUUCUCCCUGGCAGUGUGAGAGAGAUGUGUACAUUGCAAACAGCCCUGGAAUUUGAAGUUUUGGAAAAGAAGCAGAGUAAAGUAGUCAAGCCACAGACUAUUUUAUAAGUAAUAUAUUGAAAGUUAAAAUGGCUGAAUACGUUGCUGCAUGCCUUUAAUCUCAGCACUCAGAAGGCAGACCCAUAGAAUCUCUGAGUUUGAGGCCAGUCUAACUUACAGAGCAAGUCUCAAGACACCAAGGGAAACACAGAAACUCUUUCU
rnacentral:lncRNA from 1 species